UCCACCGUGGCCUAGUGGCUAAUGCUGUUGUUUUUGAAUUUUCAAACCCGGGUUCGAUCCCCACGGCGGUCAAA